rnacentral:lncRNA from 1 species
AUUCGACCUUCUCUUAACUCCGCAGAAUGCAGUUGAGAUGCAUAGAAAAAGUCUGGGACUACUUACACCUAUUUGCUAGCAUGUCUUUGAAGAAUGUUACUAGAGAGAAGCAGGUACAACCUUGUGAUUAUUAUGCUUUGAACUUGAUGCUGUGCUGAACACAUAAAAAGAGCCCUCAUGAUGAGAGAUUGGAAGGAGAAUGAAAGAAAGGAAGCAAGAUCAUCCAGAGAACCAUGAAGUAGUGACCUUCAGUGACCUUCAGUGAUGAGGUCUGGCAUUCAUCAGCAUUCACACAUCUGCAGAAGGGGUAUGAGGGAGAAAUGACUUCAUUAAUUAUUGUGUCACCAAGUUUUUCUUCUCUUGAUUCCUAAGAAGAAGAAACAGAGAUUACAUGUGUUUACUUAAGGGUAAGCACUAACUGAAUGCUUACUGAGUGGCUAGAUGAAUAUCUAAAAAAAAAAAUGGUUUCUGUAGGCGUUGGAUUCUGCUCAAUGCUUAUGCCCACCCAGAAUGCUCUAUAAAACCUUCACUGUUGUUCUCAGGAUCAGCCUUCCUGAAUUCAUCCUAUAAACUUUUAAUGAGUGACCUGUUUGUAAAACUCCCUUCCAGAUUGGCAAAUACAAGUU